rnacentral:tRNA from 1 species
GCGCCCUUAGCUCAGCUGGAUAGAGCGUCGGUCUACGGAACCGAAAGUCGGAGGUUCGAAUCCUUCCGGGCGCGCCA